GACGUAGGGCGCGAGCGUUGUCCGGAUUUAUUGGGCGUAAAGAGCUCGUAGGCGGCUUGUCGCGUCGUUCGUGAAAACUUGGGGCUCAACCCCAAGCUUGCGGUCGAUACGGGCAGGCUAGAGUUCGGUAGGGGAGACUGGAAUUCUUGGUGUAGCGGUGAAAUGCGCAGAUAUCAGGAGGAACACCGGUGGCGAAGGCGGGUCUCUGGGCCGAUACUGACGCUGAGGAGCGAAAGCGUGGGGAGCGAACAGG
rnacentral:rRNA from 1 species